rnacentral:ncRNA from 1 species
AUGCUCUGGAGAACUCUUAAAUGAGUGCCGAAGGUGCAAGGCCGGCGGAACGUCAGCCGAAACUCUCAGGCAAAAGGACAGAGGCGAAA